rnacentral:lncRNA from 1 species
AUCAACGUCGUAAGAAAUAUGACUUAAAAACAUACCACCUAACUACCAAUAUAACCGUAACAUGUACUCUAACUAAUUUGAGUAAGAAAAAUCGUGACACAGAAGUUAAUGGAUAAGAUCGAUUCGAUACUAAAUCCUCGUUAGAGAUGCUAGGGUUAUUUAAUGAAAUGAUAUUGAUGCGAAUUCCAUACCCGGACGAAAUUUAGUUACUACACAUUUAAUCGUAAUACUUCUAAAGUUGCAGCUCCCUUUGAUUGGGUUCAUAUGAAUAUAUGGGGUCCUUUGAACACUUGACUCAUGAUGGUUGUGUUUAUUUUCUUACUAUUUUGGAUGACCACAGUAGUUGUGUCUCGGUUUUUCUUAUGAAGCACAAAAGUGAAAUUUGUAAUUUUAUUCCAGCUUUCGGUUAUAUGGUUACUUAAUUUCAUUCUCGUGUUAAGAUCAUCUGAUUCAAUCAGGGUGAAGAGUUCUAAAUGCAUUCUUUCUUCGCUGACUUUAGUUUCCUCCACCAAACUAGUGUAGCUGUUGCUUCCCAGAAUCACAGAGUACACAAACACCAACACUUAUUAACGCUUUCAAAGCGUUUUAUCUAAUCAAUCGACUUUCCACUCCUACUUCCUAAUAAAACCUCUUAUGGAAUGCUUUACCAUACGUCUCUAGUUUAUAUUAUCUUCGAGUCUCUGGUAGUCUAAUUUAUGCCAGUAGUAGGCAGUGAGAGUGGACGUGUGUUACGGUGUAGGCUAAUUAUGUUAGCUAGUUAUUAUAUGCUGGUAGCUUAGUCCAUACAGUGUGAUGUAUAUAGACUAUCCUCUUCUGUAAAUUUCAUUAUAAUAAUUAGUUCAAACUUCUCUUCUUCUCCCGUCGUUGUCGUCAAUCAUCACUCAAGAGUUAUCUGUAAAUCUCGUCCCCAGUCAGCUCAGAGCUCAUCGACUAGAGUACAAAAGGUAGAGAUCAACCACAAGUUGGAGUACAAAAACUUGUUUUUCUCGUCUCUCUGUUUGAGUCAUUAUUGUAUUAGUUGUUGCCUUUUGCUUAAUUGGUCCCCAUUCUCUAAUUCAAAUGAUAAUGCAUUGUUUGAGAUGAACAACUAAUACAAGACAAUACAUUCUUGCAUGUUGUUGAGAUUAUUUUGUUAUGUUUUAUGGCUAAUUAGUGGAAAUUGUCUCUUAAAUUUGGGUCAAAUCACAAAUUGAUUCUCAUUGUAUCAAAAGUAAUAACAUCGUCCAUUUUGUUAUCGGAUCUAACUAAUACGUACUUCCGCCAGUCUCCGUCUAAACGUCAGUUAAAAAAAUGCUGAUGUGUCAUCGUCUUGUGAUCCACUCCAUAUGACGUGGCACUUUCCACAUCAGCUAAUAGCACGAUUAUUGGUAGCCAUUUUGAACCCAUUUUGACUGAUUUUUUACUCGAUUUGACCGACUUUUGAGUCACUUGUGUGAUUGGUUGGAAGAAACAAGGAUUUGGCGUUAUGUUUUUUUGAACAGCCAGUUUCAGUCUGUUCGACUUGCUUUUUCUAUUGAAAACACUUUGUUUAUUUUAUUUUUUUGGGAGUGUGGUGGGAUUGGGAUGCCUGUUUGGGGAAUUAGGGAAUGUUGGUACGAAAGCGGUCGAUUUUCUUCUUCCUAUUUUUCUUCCCGAUUUGUGGUCCAAAAUCCUGUUGUUUUAUAGUGAAAAUGGCGGUCGUUGCCGCCCAUUUUAACCAAUUAAUUGCUGGCAGCAAUUCUGACAAAAAUCAGAGGUGGCUGCAUUUUGGAAGAAACAGUAUCCGGCCUGGUAUUAAAUUGGGCCGAAAAAAUGCAUCAAAUGUCGCAAUAGUUUUUUGAUUGGUUUAGUUUGCUGAAUUUUGAGAGGGCAGAUUUGGGGUUCAUUCGUUUUGACCGUUCCAUUUUAAAAUGAUUUGAAAUAACUGGCUUAGAAUAAUCAACGUCGUAAGAAAUAUGACUUAAAAACAUACCACCUAACUACCAAUAUAACCGUAACAUGUACUCUAACUAAUUUGAGUAAGAAAAAUCGUGACACAGAAGUUAAUGGAUAAGAUCGAUUCGAUACUAAAUCCUCGUUAGAGAUGCUAGGGUUAUUUAAUGAAAUGAUAUUGAUGCGAAUUCCAUACCCGGACGAAAUUUAGUUACUACACAUUUAAUCGUAAUACUUCUAAAGUUGCAGCUCCCUUUGAUUGGGUUCAUAUGAAUAUAUGGGGUCCUUUGAACACUUGACUCAUGAUGGUUGUGUUUAUUUUCUUACUAUUUUGGAUGACCACAGUAGUUGUGUCUCGGUUUUUCUUAUGAAGCACAAAAGUGAAAUUUGUAAUUUUAUUCCAGCUUUCGGUUAUAUGGUUACUUAAUUUCAUUCUCGUGUUAAGAUCAUCUGAUUCAAUCAGGGUGAAGAGUUCUAAAUGCAUUCUUUCUUCGCUGACUUUAGUUUCCUCCACCAAACUAGUGUAGCUGUUGCUUCCCAGAAUCACAGAGUACACAAACACCAACACUUAUUAACGCUUUCAAAGCGUUUUAUCUAAUCAAUCGACUUUCCACUCCUACUUCCUAAUAAAACCUCUUAUGGAAUGCUUUACCAUACGUCUCUAGUUUAUAUUAUCUUCGAGUCUCUGGUAGUCUAAUUUAUGCCAGUAGUAGGCAGUGAGAGUGGACGUGUGUUACGGUGUAGGCUAAUUAUGUUAGCUAGUUAUUAUAUGCUGGUAGCUUAGUCCAUACAGUGUGAUGUAUAUAGACUAUCCUCUUCUGUAAAUUUCAUUAUAAUAAUUAGUUCAAACUUCUCUUCUUCUCCCGUCGUUGUCGUCAAUCAUCACUCAAGAGUUAUCUGUAAAUCUCGUCCCCAGUCAGCUCAGAGCUCAUCGACUAGAGUACAAAAGGUAGAGAUCAACCACAAGUUGGAGUACAAAAACUUGUUUUUCUCGUCUCUCUGUUUGAGUCAUUAUUGUAUUAGUUGUUGCCUUUUGCUUAAUUGGUCCCCAUUCUCUAAUUCAAAUGAUAAUGCAUUGUUUGAGAUGAACAACUAAUACAAGACAAUACAUUCUUGCAUGUUGUUGAGAUUAUUUUGUUAUGUUUUAUGGCUAAUUAGUGGAAAUUGUCUCUUAAAUUUGGGUCAAAUCACAAAUUGAUUCUCAUUGUAUCAAAAGUAAUAACAUCGUCCAUUUUGUUAUCGGAUCUAACUAAUACGUACUUCCGCCAGUCUCCGUCUAAACGUCAGUUAAAAAAAUGCUGAUGUGUCAUCGUCUUGUGAUCCACUCCAUAUGACGUGGCACUUUCCACAUCAGCUAAUAGCACGAUUAUUGGUAGCCAUUUUGAACCCAUUUUGACUGAUUUUUUACUCGAUUUGACCGACUUUUGAGUCACUUGUGUGAUUGGUUGGAAGAAACAAGGAUUUGGCGUUAUGUUUUUUUGAACAGCCAGUUUCAGUCUGUUCGACUUGCUUUCUCAAUGUUUCAUUGAGCUUGCAGGUAUGCAAUGGAUAGAGAACUACAAGACGAUUCCAACCAGACCAACCGGAGCUCAAUCGGAGAUCGGACGAGGGAGAUACGAGCAAUCGAAGACGAAACUCUCGGGCUGGAAAUGGGGCCACACGGCGUGUGGAGCCCGUGUAGAGGCUACAGACCAUGGCUUUUAAGGCCAAAAUUGAGGAAGAGGCAUCAUAACUUCAACUACAUCCAUUCCAUCAUCUCACCUACGAUUUCCCCUCUUCUCCCACCAUUUUUAGAGCCCUAGAUGAGUAGAUUGAGUAGCAAUUGAAAGUCUUGGAGCUAGCUUAGAUUGGGUGGAACUUGGAGUUAAGAUUGAGGAUCAAGGAAUCAUCACCUUCAAGCCUUAUACCUAGAUGUCAAGAAUGGUGUUUGUAACCUCUAUUUCUCCUUUGAGUUUUGUCAUGGUAGGCUAGUUUUUAUUGUUGCUAGGCUAGAGAUGAUGUUGUUGCAAGGAUGAUCCCCUCAUGAUGAGGGGUUGGAAACACUUGGAUGCUUAUUAUGAUAAUGAUGUUCUUGGAUUAUGGUGUUUUCAACGUAGCUAGUUUAUGUCAUGGCUCGAAUUAGGUCUAAUCAAUACUCUCCUCUGCAUGACUU